CAAAAAACAACAUGGUGACAGCCAAAAACCUAGAUAGCGACGGCCAAAAACCGAGAUGACAGAUCGUUUUCGUCGCCUCAGUGUGGUAUACUUACCUGUCAGCUGCCUCCGCUUCCUGCUGUACCUACCUGCUCACUCUCCGACAUCAUUGCUCCUCCUCGGAUCACAAGUGGACUGGAAUCACCAUCUGGAGGAUCACUGGAACCCCAAUCCCCAUGCUCCUCACUCCCUUUAAAACUUUUAGUCUUAAUCCCAGCCACGUCGGACUAUGAGGACCUCCAGCCCUGUCCACCGUUCAAUUUAUUAUUAUUAAUAAAUUCUUAUAUUGCUACAGCUUU